AUGGGUGCCUGGCCGUUGUCCCUCGCCAGUGCAACGUUCUCUGCCGCUGUUGUGGUUGCCGCGCUGCUGCCGCCGUUGUGCGCCGUGGCGCGCGCACCGGCUCGGGCAGCUACCCCGGGGGGGAGCGGCUGCACCACCCACUGCGGCAACAUCAGCAUCCCGUAUCCGUUCGGGGUGGAGCCCGGCUGCUACCACGAGAGCGGCUUCAACCUCACCUGCAACCAGUCCUACAGCCCGCCUCAGCUCUUCCUCGGCGACGGAACCGUUCAGGUGCUCGACAUCGAUCUGCCCAACGCCACGGUGCGUAUCAACGGAAACUCAUUGGAUAUCCCCUAUGGCGACAUUGGAAACAUAAGCCGCCGCACAUGGCGCGCCGGCGGCCUAGGAUACGCUGCCGACGGGCCAUACUUUGUAGCCGGAGCAGGGCGGAACAACUUGGUAGCACUCGGGUGCAACGUCCAAGUCAUCCUCUUGGGAGAGAACGACACCCUUGUCAGCUCUUGCUCUCCUUUCUGCCCGGACGGAAAUAACAAAGAUGAUACGGAUACCUGCUCCGGCAUCGUCUGCUGCCAGGCAACCAUACUGGAGGGCCGCGCUUCCUAUGGACUCCAGGUCCAACAGGUUGGUUUUGGUUCUUAUAGAUACUACUCGGCCGGUGUGUUAAUUGUGGAAUCGGACUAUUUCUUUCACUCGACGGACAAUUCUUACGAGUACACAGCCCCCGCCAUGCUGACCUGGGCGAUCAACAGCUCGAUAUGUGAUACCAGGGGGUUGUCACCUGCCUGCCGCAGUAAUCACAGCUUCUGUCUUAACUACACCACAGAUUUUGAUCAAGGUCCUGAGAAUGGUGAUCCUGUUGAUCAACGGCAUAACUGCAGGUGCGGUCGUGGUUUCCAAGGCAAUCCAUACAUCUCCCAUGGCUGCUAUGAUAUCGACGAAUGCGAUUAUCCAGACAUCUAUCCAUGUUACGGCAAUUGCAGAAACACACACGGAGGAUAUGACUGUCAGUGCCCUCCUGGCUUCAAGGGUAAUGCUUCUAAACCAAAUGGAUGUGAAGAUAUCGACGAAUGCGAUUAUCCAGACAUCUAUCCAUGUUACGGCAAUUGCAGAAACACACACGGAGGAUAUGACUGUCAGUGCCCUCCUGGCUUCAAGGGUAAUGCUUCUAAACCAAAUGGAUGUGAAGACAUUGACGAAUGUAAACACAAGGAAACAUAUCCAUGUUAUGGAAUCUGCAUCAAUUUGCCCGGGACAUUCCAUUGUCGGUGUCAAGAUGGUGCCUAUGGAGAUCCAUUUAUGAAAUUGGGAUGCGUCAGCGUCAGAACAAAAAGGCCAUUUACAGGUUUGGGCAUAGGUCUUGUGGCUAGUGGCAGCUCAAUCAUUUUACUUUUAGUGCUCGCCGCCCCGUUUAUUGCACGCAAAAUGAAGUUAAAUAGGGCAAACAGACUGAAAAGAAGAUUGUUCAAGCAAAAUCAUGGGUUGCUAUUGCAACAACUAAUAUCCCAGAAAACAGAUUUUGGUGAAAGGAUGAUCAUUCCUUUGUUGGAUCUAGAGAAGGCCACAAACAAUUUUGACAGAACACGUGAGGCCGGCGGCGGAGGCCACGGUGUUGUGUAUAAAGGAAUUUUAGACCUACAGGUUGUCGCCAUCAAGAAAUCCAAGAUCGUCGUACAGAGAGAAAUCGAUGACUUCAUAAACGAGGUUGCAAUUCUUUCUCAAAUCAACCAUAGAAAUGUCGUGAAGCUAAUUGGAUGUUGUCUUGAGACAGAAGUGCCAUUACUAGUUUAUGAGUUCAUUUCAAAUGGUACUCUUGAUUACCAUCUUCAUGUGGAAGGCCCAAUGUCACUGUCAUGGGAUGAUCGAACAAGGAUUGCGCUUGAAGUUGCUAGAGCUCUUUCUUAUCUCCAUUCUGCUGCUUCGAUGCCAAUUUAUCACAGGGAUAUUAAAUCAUCUAACAUACUUCUUGAUGAUAAUUUGACAGCAAAGGUAUCAGAUUUUGGAGCUUCGAGAUACAUCCCAAUCGACCAAACCGGGGUGACUACAGCCGUGCAAGGAACAAUAGGCUACUUAGACCCCAUGUACUAUUAUACCGGUCGCCUAACAGACAAGAGUGAUGUUUUCAGUUUUGGUGUUCUGCUUGUAGAAUUCCUAACUAGAAAAAAACCAUGCCUCUACCGUAGUGGUGGCAACGAUGGUGUUGGCCUCGUUUCACAUUUUGUUUCACUACUCGCAGAAGGCAACCUUGAUGAGAUAAUAGAUCCUCAACUCAUAGAAGAGGAAAAUGGGGAAGUCCAGGAGGUAGCUACGCUAGCAGCGAUGUGCAUUAAAUUGAAGGGAGAAGAGCGGCCUACAAUGAGGGAAGCCGAGAUGAAACUUGAAAUUUUGAGAGUUAAUAUGCGUGUGGCACUUGAUACUGCUGCAUCAAGGAGAUAUGACAGGGGUCAAACUGAGUUUCUAUACAUGCCGACAGAAGCAGUUGUUGUGGAAGCAAGCAGGCAAUACACUAUGGAGGAAGAAAUAUUGUCUUCUGCAAGUUAUCCUCGAUGA
rnacentral:rRNA from 1 species